AGUUUUUCCCUCUAGAAAUUCAUCCUCCAUCUAACUUGUGCUUUGGUAACUGAGCACUUCCUGCUUCCUGACCUGCAGCAUAUGCAAAUCUCACGGAUGCAAAGAAAUGUCCUUCAGUGAUUUUGAUCAACUCCUGAGAAUAUUGCUGGGAGGUGAAUGAGCUUGCAGUGGGCCUCCAAGGAAUAUGCAGCAGCUGCGGUCCCUAUGGCAUAGCAGAUUUUGGCAGGGGAAGAGGAGCGAUGGAAACAUUGCCAUGACAUAAGCAACAAUCUUGAAGCUUUUUCAAAAGAAGAUUAGAUUUGCUCUCUCCCAAUUUAAUCCAAAAUAUAUUCAGUGGGAGAAGCUGCUACAUGUUUGAACAGCGUAGUACAUCAAUUCAUCUUUCAUAAGAGUUCUUAGGGCUUCAGCCAACAGACUGACUGAUGCCAACGGAAAGAGUCCCUUUGAUUUCAGUGCUCUUUGGACCAUGGCCUAG